AGUGAACGCUGGCGGUAGGCCUAACACAUGCAAGUCGAACGGCAGCACAGUAAGAGCUUGCUCUUACGGGUGGCGAGUGGCGGACGGGUGAGGAAUACAUCGGAAUCUACUUUUUCGUGGGGGAUAACGUAGGGAAACUUACGCUAAUACCGCAUACGACCUACGGGUGAAAGCAGGGGAUCUUCGGACCUUGCGCGAUUGAAUGAGCCGAUGUCGGAUUAGCUAGUUGGCGGGGUAAAGGCCCACCAAGGCGACGAUCCGUAGCUGGUCUGAGAGGAUGAUCAGCCACACUGGAACUGAGACACGGUCCAGACUCCUACGGGAGGCAGCAGUGGGGAAUAUUGGACAAUGGGCGCAAGCCUGAUCCAGCAAUACCGCGUGGGUGAAGAAGGCCUUCGGGUUGUAAAGCCCUUUUAUUGGGAAAGAAAAGCAGCAGGUUAAUACCCCGCUGUUCUGACGGUACCCAAAGAAUAAGCACCGGCUAACUUCGUG
rnacentral:rRNA from 1 species